UACGUAGGGCGCAAGCGUUGUCCGGAAUUAUUGGGCGUAAAGAGCUCGUAGGUGGCGUGUCGCGUCUGCCGUGAAAGCCCAUGGCUUAACUGUGGGUCUGCGGUGGAUACGGGCAGGCUAGAGGCUGGUAGGGGCAAGCGGAAUUCCUGGUGUAGCGGUGAAAUGCGCAGAUAUCAGGAAGAACACCCGUGGCGAAGGCGGCUCUCUGGGACGGUACUGACGCUGAGACGCGAAAGCGUGGGGAGCGAACAGG
rnacentral:rRNA from 1 species